rnacentral:lncRNA from 1 species
UGGGUAUGAAAAUAUGUUAAAUCUAAUCACUUAUCAUUAUGUAUCUUGAUCAGAAGGUGAUGAUUCAAUUAAUGAUAUAUUAGAAAUCUUUUUCUAAUUAUCAUCCUGCUUUGGCCAAAGACUUCCUGAAUCACCAUCCUAUGAGAUCACACAGGAUGUUCGUUCCCCUUAUUAAGAGUGACUAAUCCCUUAUUGAUCACACACAA